rnacentral:rRNA from 1 species
UACGUAGGGUGCAAGCGUUGUCCGGAAUUAUUGGGCGUAAAGAGCUUGUAGGCGGUUUGUCGCGUCUGCUGUGAAAUUUCGGGGCUCAACCCCGAACUUGCAGUGGGUACGGGCAGACUAGAGUGUGGUAGGGGAGACUGGAAUUCCUGGUGUAGCGGUGAAAUGCGUAGAUAUCUGGAGGAACACCGGUGGCGAAGGCGGCAUCCUGGACCAAUAUUGACGCUGAGGAGCGAAAGCCAGGGGAGCAAACGGG